rnacentral:rRNA from 1 species
UACGUAGGGUGCAAGCGUUAUCCGGAAUUACUGGGCGUAAAGCGUGCGCAGGCGGUUUGUUAAGUCUGAUGUGAAAGCCCCGGGCUCAACCUGGGAACUGCAUUGGAAACUGGCAAGCUCGAGUAUGGCAGAGGGGGGUGGAAUUCCGCGUGUAGCAGUGAAAUGCGUAGAGAUGCGGAGGAACACCGAUGGCGAAGGCAGCCCCCUGGGCCAAUACUGACGCUCAGGCACGAAAGCGUGGGGAGCAAACAGG